AUACCCUUGUAGUNCACGCUGUAAACGAUGAUUACUGGCUAUGUGAAGUGUCGACCCUUCACGUGGCGAAGCUAACGCGUUAAGUAAUCCGCCUGGGAAGUACGGUGGCAACACUAAAACUCAAAGGAAUAGACGGGGACUCACACAAGCGGUGGAUCAUGUGGCUUAAUUCGACAACAAACGAAGAACCUUACCAGGUCUGGAAAUCUGCAUGAAAGCUUUAUGAAAGUAGAGCCCUUCACAAGACAUGCAGACAGGUGCUGCAUGGUUGUCGUCAGUUCGUGUCUUGAGACGUACCGUUAAUUCGGGUAACGAACGCAACCCUUGCCCUGUGUUUUAAAUGUCACAGGGGACUGCCCGAGAUAAUUGGGAGGAAGGCGAGGAUGACGCCAAAUCAGCAUGGCCCUUUGAUGACCUGGGCCGCACACGUGGUACAAUGGCCGGUACAAUGCGCUUCGAUGCCGCAAGGCGGAGAUUAAUCGCACCAAAACCGGUCUCAGUUCGGAUUGAGGUCUGAAACCCGACCUCAUGAAGCUGGAAUCGCUAGUAAUCGCCAAUCAG
rnacentral:rRNA from 1 species